rnacentral:rRNA from 1 species
GACGAACGCUGGCGGCGUGCUUACACAUGCAAGUCGAGCGGUAAGGCCCUUCGGGGUACACGAGCGGCGAACGGGUGAGUAACACGUGGGUGAUCUGCCUCGUACUCUGGGAUAAGCCUGGGAAACUGGGUCUAAUACCGGAUAUGACCACGAAUCGCAUGGUUUGUGGUGGAAAGAUUUAUCGGUGCGAGAUGGGCCCGCGGCCUAUCAGCUUGUUGGUGGGGUAAUGGCCUACCAAGGCGACGACGGGUAGCCGACCUGAGAGGGUGACCGGCCACACUGGGACUGAGACACGGCCCAGACUCCUACGGGAGGCAGCAGUGGGGAAUAUUGCACAAUGGGCGAAAGCCUGAUGCAGCGACGCCGCGUGAGGGAUGACGGCCUUCGGGUUGUAAACCUCUUUCGACAGGGACGAAGCGCAAUUGACGGUACAUGUAGAAGAAGCACCGGCCAACUACGUGCCAGCAGCCGCGGUAAUAA